CCUGGUGGCUGUAGCGCGGUGGUCCCACCUGACCCCAUGCCGAACUCAGAAGUGAAACGCCGUAGCGCCGAUGGUAGUGUGGGGUCUCCCCAUGCGAGAGUAGGGAACUGCCAGGC
rnacentral:rRNA from 5 species